rnacentral:lncRNA from 1 species
AUAGAUUCGAGCGAACAAAUGUGGCCUUAUUAGAACCUUGCCCGUGAAAACUCAAUGGGACAAAACUUGAGAUGAAGGAAAAAAACUGCCACACACUCCAUUAAGGCUACAAAAAAAAAACUCAUGACAAAUUCAAAAUAUCAGCGUGAUCUUGAAGAACACAUUGAGCCAUGGAGGACCCUCUUCAAGCCAAACGGUCUGUAGACACACUACCUAAAGAAAACUUAGCAAGUCUAUUAGCCACAAUAUUACAUAAUAUGAGAACAAAGACAAAAGAAAGAGAAGCAACAUUUCUAGAUAGUAUGUGGAUGUCGUUGAUAAUCCACGUGCAGUCUCAAAAGCCUCAUUGCCAGAGACGAUAUUGUUAAUGACAAUCUUCGCAUCUGACUCAACCACCAAUGAAUCAUAACCAGCCUCCCAUUGAAAUCGAAUGACUUCCCGAAUUGCUAAGAGUAGAGUAAUUGUGGUUGACAAACAUCCAAUGAUGAUAGGGACUGAAAUAACACCCAUAAGAUCUUCACGCACAUUUCUUACAACUGCCUUUAAUUCACGCCUCCAAACAGAAUUACCACAAGAACCAUUAAAAUUGGCACUUAGGUAAAGGGGGUAAAUCAAAACCCCAAUAGAUAUAUUUAAGACAACAAUAAUUAAAUGUUCCUAGUAACAAUAUGACUAGUCAA